UGGAAAGAAAGAGAAAUUUCAUCGUCACUUCUUCUGUACCAUCGUUUCUCCAUUGCUAAACAAAAGCAAGCUUAGUAAGCUUGCAUGAUUGAGAAGUAAAUCAACCGGAAGAUAAACACGGAAAAGGAAAAAUUAUGGAGUAGUUCUCGGAGUCGUAUUUGUUGUUGCUUUGUUUAGGUGUAUUUGGUCCCCUUCAUUCAACAAUUCGGAAGUAGUUAAUGGCUAGCGGUCGAGUGGCCAAAUAAGCGAUUUUAAAGGUGCCGAGCAAGGUACGUAACAUAUGGUUGAUCGGGUGGUUAACCCUUACUGAAUUUGCGUGUAAGCAAAAAAUUUGACAUGUCUGAUUACUGUUUGGCGCACUUAUUAGGGAUGAUUACAUGCUUGAUAAUGAUUUUCAUUGUGUUGACAUGAUAUGAAUUGCUAUUGUUCGUUGAAUAUUUGUAUAACAUGCGACUCAUUGAGUCACCGAUUGAUCUAUGUAUUAAGCUUGCUUGACUGUAAUGCUUGUUGUAUGUAUGAUACAUACCAUUGGUGCCAUUGUUACUAAUUGACUGAAAGUAUGAAAUUCAUGUACUGAAAAUGUUACCGUAAGCAUGUUAAGCAUGCCAUUGUAUUGAAUAUAUUACCGUAAGCAUGUUAUGCUUUCCAUUGUACCAAAAUUGAUCUAAAAGCAUGAUUUACUCAAUGAUUGUAUGGCAUACUGCAUAUGCAUAGCGUGGGAUAUUGUGGUUGACGGAGGAGUUCCACGGAGUACUAACGACAGUUAGAGUCCGCAAUAUUGUUGUUAGUGCACUACACCAAGAGUACCGAGGAGAUUGGAGAUUUUAUCACAUUAUUGGCAACUUGUCUGCAUUACUAGUGGCUUGUCUACACUAUUGGUAGUUUAUCUACAUUAUCGAUAUUGGCAGCUUGUCUGCAUGUAUUGGCAAUUUAUCUACACUACUGUACUGGUGGUUUAUCCACAUCGAGCUAUAGCUCGUACUGUUUGGUGUUCGACAAAUGGAUUUUGGGUCUUAAACUUUUUAGGACCAGACCCACAUAUGGAGCAUCAACUCGGACAUUGAAUUAUUUUUUUAAAAAAAAGUUUAUUAUUUUGAUCAAAGUUUUACCUUUGGUUUUGGUCUGUAA